rnacentral:lncRNA from 1 species
AAAUGAGUUACUGCUCUCUCAGCGCCUGCCAUGGGAAGCCAGCUGCUCAGGGAGCACUGUGGUUUUGUAUUCAGACAGAAGGGGACAAGCUCAUGCAUACAUCUGGAUACGGAGACAGGCCAGCUUCACCCUCUCUAACUAAGUGAACACCACGGCCUUGACAGAACUAGCUGGAAUUCUAAUCACUAGGGCUGGCAUAAUAGACAGAUGGAUUGCAGCUCACAACUCACCUCAAAAGACAGAAUGUAAAAGACUCAAGUAUUCAUCAACACUGGGAUACAUGGAACUCCAACUUGUUCUGUUUGUGAGUCUGACCUUGAACUUGCUCUUUUCAGUCCUUAUGCUACAGUGAGGUUUCCAAGAGUGACAGUUCAUCUCAACUGUCAACUUGAUGAGAUCUAGAAUGCCCUGGGAGAUAUGCCUCUGGGCAUGCUUUUUGGUAGUUAUCUUGAUGAGGUUUAUUAAGAGGGAAAGAAGCAACCACUGUGGAUGGUGUCACCCCUUCCACUGAGAUCCUGAACUGUGUGAAAUGCACCAUGAGCUGAGAAGAGCCAUCCACUUUUCUCUGCUUCCUGAAUGUGAACAUUUGGCUUGCUGCUUCAGGCUCCUGCUGCCUUGACAGGCAGCUUCAGCUGCUGCCGUGACUUCCCUGCUGUGAUGGACUAUACCGUGGAAAUUCAAGCUGCAAGAAACUCUUUUAAGGCGCUUUUGUCAGGUUAUUUCUUUUUCACAGCAACAGGAGAAGAAAUUAAGAACCAAGUGUGUAUGCCACCAAUCAAAAGAGGUGUCUGGGAAACAAGAGGAAUGUAGGUCAAGAUGGAUGUAGAAUAGAUCUUGAAGCAUAGUCCAAGAAAUCCUGCUUAGACUGUUUUAAAAGAAGGAAGAGUUGCCUUGGUCCUGGUGUCUCUUCAUAGCAAUGGAAAUCCUAACACACACACACACACACACACACACACACACACACCACAUAUAUACAGAGAGAG